rnacentral:ncRNA from 1 species
GGGAAGUUUUAUUCUUGCUUAAAUAUUUACUUUAAAAUUAUUAUAUAUGCAAAUUUUUGUGUAAUUUAAUUUAAUUAUUCUAGAUGGAUUUUAACAUUUUUUAUAUUUCGCAGUAUAUAAUAUUAAAAUUUUAUGUAAUUUUGAUUUAGUAAUUUUAUUUAAAUGUUGAUUAAGUAUGUGCCAGCAGUCGCGGUUAAACAUAAGGCAUUAGUAAAUAAUUAUCAGUUAAAGUAGUUAAUUUAAUAUUAUUAAUAUAGUUUGAUUAUUUUUUUGGUGAAAUAAUUAAUAAUUGUUUUUUAUUUUUAUAUUUUUAAUGAAGCUAUUAAAUUUAAAAUAUUUAAACUAGGAUUAGAUACCCUAUUAUUUUAAAUGUUACUUAUAUUAACUUGAGUAGUAUUAGUUAUGAUCUUGAAACUUAAAGAAUUUGGCGGUAUUUUAGUCUAUUUAGAGGAAUCUGUCCCUUAAUCGAUAUUCCACGUUGGACCUUACUUAGUUUAUAAAUAUGUAUACCGCCGUUGAUAAAAUUUUUUUAGGAUAAAAUUUUUUUAAUAUUUAUUAGAUAAUUUUUCAGGUCAAGGUGCAGUUUAUAAUUAAGUGGUGAUGGAUUACAAUAUUUAAAAAUAUAUGAAUUAUUAAUUUUAAUUAUUGAUAUGAAGGUGGAUUUAAUAGUAAUAUUAUAAAGAUUAUUAAUGUGAUUAUAGCUCUAAGGUAUGUACACAUCGCCCGUCGCUCUCGUUAUAUUAUUAAAACGAGAUAAGUCGUAACAUAGUAGUUGUACCGGAAGGUGUAGCUAGAAAGUU